UCUGGAAUCAGAAGAAGGGCUGCCAACUCCAUCAGAAAUCAGGUUGCUCCUGGAGCCGUGCCGGUGAGCACAUAAACACUUCUUGAAUCCCUGCCCACAUCGUAGAGGUCAUGGCCUACACUGGACACGUGGGUGUUGAGUGAUGGAGGCCAGGAAGGCAAAUGAAACUCCAAGCCUUGCCGGACGAAGGCCCCAGGCUACAAGCAGAUCCUAAAGGACUCACCUCAGUCCCAAGGUUAGACGUGUGAUCAUGUGUGGAUCUCAGACACCCAAGCUAGACAGAAGGAAGGACUUCCCCGAGCACAGUUCCCCGAGCUGUUAGCAAUUUCAUCAGACAUGGAGGCCUCUCUUCUUGGAAGGCGAUGAAGCAGGAGAGUCCCCAUGCUGCUGAGCCAGGGGUGAGCCCUCCGUUCUCCCAGUGCCAGAGGAAGCUGGGAACGGGGCGCCCACACUCAGCAGACAAGGGCAGGCUGAGCAGACCAGGCUUUCCCGUGCCACCAGAGGCAGUGGGUCACCUGCUGGCUGGGGGGCUCCCGGAAGCACU